rnacentral:rRNA from 1 species
AUCCUGGCUCAGGAUGAACGCUGGCGGCGUGCCUAACACAUGCAAGUCGAGCGGGAUUUUCCGGAUUGAAGCUUCGGAUGAUGGAUUGAUUGACUGAGUGGCGGACGGGUGAGUAACGCGUGGGUAACCUGCCUCAUACAGGGGGAUAACAGUUAGAAAUGACUGCUAAUACCGCAUAAGCGCACAGUACCGCAUGGUACGGUGUGAAAAACUCCGGUGGUAUGAGAUGGACCCGCGUCUGAUUAGCUAGUUGGUGGGGUAACGGCCUACCAAGGCGACGAUCAGUAGCCGACCUGAGAGGGUGACCGGCCACAUUGGGACUGAGACACGGCCCAAACUCCUACGGGAGGCAGCAGUGGGGAAUAUUGCACAAUGGGCGAAAGCCUGAUGCAGCGACGCCGCGUGAACGAAGAAGUAUUUCGGUAUGUAAAGUUCUAUCAGCAGGGAAGAAAAUGACGGUACCUGACUAAGAAGCACCGGCUAAAUACGUG